ACAGUGGAUUAUUGACUGAAGCGCGCCAGCUAAACUGAGUUUCUAUGGAUAUAAAGAAGGACUUUAUCGAACGAAAGGACCAUUUGUAUGUAACUGGGACCUUUUGGAGUGUCAACAGAAGAUCUUCAAAGCGUUUGGUUGAUCCUCUUGGGGCGAGCAGAGUAAUUGUUUAAAGACAGCGCAACACUGGCGGAGAUGGAAGAGGAGAAGCAGCGUUCACCAGCAGUAUGUCUCCUCGGAGAGGUUACCAAUCCUGUAGGGAAGACCAAGCCCAGGCAUGGAUCAAAGCUGGAGAGACAUUCAAUGACGCCAUCUUCACAGAUGAAUCAACCGUGGCCCUUGAGCAAUUUGCUCAAAACUACUACAGAAAAAAAGGAAGAAGAUCAAGCAAGCCGAGGUCCAAGCAUCCCCUCAGACUCCAUGUGUGGGGGGGAAUUUCUAGCCAGCGCCCAGGCCCA